rnacentral:lncRNA from 1 species
GGGGUCUCCACCCUUACCAGACUCUGAGCCACUCAGAUAUUACCUCUCCUCCUUAAUCCAGACAUGGUCUUUCAUUCGUGAAGCAGCAAAUAAGGCCAUGCCUCUCCCUGUUAACACCUUUUUGUCCUCUGAACGUAACUGUCUUACAGGCACAGACGUGUUUCCAGACAAUCCAGAUGAUGCUUCUGCUACAGCGACAUGGCCCAGUCCCAAGGCGCAAGGGCCACUUGUGUCAGCAGUGUGCACCAGCAGCGUGCGCCGGCAAGAUAGCAGAAGCAUGAAAAGGGCCGGCCAGAAGACACCUACUCUGGCUGGAAGACACGUACCCCUGAAGAUCAAGAAAGAAGCUAUCUGGGAACAAUGUAGCAGUUACGUCAGACCAGGACACUUCCUGUUUACAGGAGACUAUAAAACCUUUGUCCUAUCAUCACUUGAUGUGGACGCCAUUUUAGGCCUCAGCCCGCC